ACAAACUCUGUGCCACGAUGAAUACACCAGUUCUCGUCCGAUCACUGAAGUUAAGCGACGUUGGACAUAGUCAGCAGUACUUGGAUGGGUGACCGUCUGGGAGAUCACGUGUUGUUGGUU
rnacentral:rRNA from 1 species